rnacentral:rRNA from 1 species
CGGCAACAGCUCAAAUUUGAAAUCUGGCCUCUGCGGGGUCCGAGUUGUAAUUUGGAGAGGAUGUUUCGGGCACGGUCCGGGCUUAAAUUUCUUGGAACAGAAUGUCACAGAGGGUGAGAAUCCCGUCUGGAGUCCGGACACGGCCCAUGUGAAACUCCUUCGACGAGUCGAGUUGUUUGGGAAUGCAGCUCUAAAUGGGUGGUAAAUUUCAUCUAAAGCUAAAUACUGGCCAGAGACCGAUAGCGCACAAGUAGAGUGAUCGAAAGAUGAAAAGCACUUUGAAAAGAGAGUUAAACAGUACGUGAAAUUGUUGAAAGGGAAGCGCUGUCAACCAGACUUGCGCGUCGGGGUUCCCCCUUGCUUCUGCCUGGGUUACUCCCCGGCGUUCAGGCCAACAUCGGUUUCGGGGGUUGGUUAAAGGCCCUGGGAAUGUAUCUACCCUCCGGGGUAGACUUAUAGCCCAGGGUGUCAUGCGACCUCCCGGGACCGAGGAACGCGCUUCGGCUCGGAUGUUGGCGUAAUGGUUGUCAGCGACCCGUCUUGAAACACGGACCAAGGAGUCUAACAUCUAUGCGAGUGUUAGGGUGUCAAACCCUUACGCGGAAUGAAAGUGAACGGAGGUAGGAAGCCUUAAGGCUGCACUAUCGACCGAUCCUGAUGUCUUCGGAUGGAUUUGAGUAAGAGCAUAGCUGUUGGGACCCGAAAGAUGGUGAACUAUGCCUGAAUAGGGUGAAGCCAGAGGAAACUCUGGUGGAGGCUCGCA